UAUUGGGUCCUGUGCGAUUUCAUGGCGUGAACCCUGUCAGGUCCGGAAGGAAGCAGCAGUAAGCGUAUUUUGAGAUGUGCUGCGGGGCAGCCUAGUACCU
rnacentral:SRP_RNA from 1 species